UGCUUCCAAGUUCCAGUGGCUCAGGAUGGAGGAAACAGUUGCUGACCAGUGAACCCCAUCUGAGAAAUCCAUUUCUCAGGAUAGUUACUACAUCUGAAAGAACUGCUACCAUCGAAGAAGGAGAUGACUUAGUUGUUGGCCUUGUGAAGCUCAAAUGGAGACUACGGAGCAGAGAAGACAGAGAUCUGAGCAAGUCUACUUCUCUGUGGCCUGCUACCCUGGUUAGCUGUGCCCAGAGCUAGGGCUUGGACCUGUAUAAUAAUGAAUGAGUAAAGCUCUGUCCACCCCUCUUUGCACUCCUAGCCUCCGCACAGGGCUAUACUCAGGAGGCAACAGAGUUCCAUGUUUGUCUUCCAUGCCGGCGCAUUCACGCUGCUCCUCUCACAAUCAUUAUCAUUAUGAUCAUCACCAUCAAGAAUGCUAAAUCUUUGCCAAGUGUCCUUCAUUUUGUAUUCUGUGUCAGGGAACAAAUAUUAACGGAGCCUCCAGUUAAAUGGGGGGCUGAUCUUCUUGGUAUUUAAAUUGUUUUAUCUAAAUUAAGCUUUACAACCACACUGUCAGAUGUUACAAUCCCCAUUUUACUGAGGAUAUAACAUGGUUAGAAAAAUAAAGUAAUUUGCCUCAGGUCACAUAGCUCAUCGUAGACAAAGUGUGGGUUACAACCCAUGUGCAGGAUCUGGGCAGGGGGGUGGGGUGGUGGCGUAGGGGAGGAGAGAAAUUUCCCGUCCAUCCCUCAUAGUCAUUCCCUAGAGGAACUCCACAAUCCUAUGUGCACAGAGAAAGGGGGAUCAGUGAUAUAUCCACUUUCGCAUUGGCAAGUGACACAGAGACAAGUUCAGACUCAGUAAGUGCCAGGUUUACCUUUGGGAUGUUGGGUGAGUAAACUCAUCUUCUCUGGUAUUAAAUCAUGUCUGGGAGGAAUAGUGGAUAAAACUUUGCCACCUAAUUCACAACGAACUCUUAUCCACAACACAAAUCCUCAUCGCUUUGGGAAUUAAUGCCACCACCAUACCGUAGCACGCCCUGGAUACAUGGACACACGCUGGGGCUCAGAAGGCUUUUCCCUCUCUGGAGGACUGAGAAGAUGUAAUUGCUGCAUGAUUCCACUGAUCCCAAUGGAGUCUGGGAGUAAGAGGAGGGUGGGGGCUUCACCCCCACACAGCACCUGGCAAUAUUCUCCAUAAAAUGCCUAAUGUGGUACCCAACACAGAAGUUUCUCUUACCAUUUCUCCUCUUCUUUCCCCUACCUUUUAGGCCAGGUUUCCUCGAUUAAGAGCAUCAUAGAUUAGGUGUGUUUUUGUGGGGACAGGGUAUGACUACAUAGCCCAGGCAGUCUUCAAACUCAUGACACAGCCUUAGUCUGUCAAGUGCUGGGAUUUAUUAGACAGCUCUGCCAUGACACCCUUAGACAUUGGUUACUGUUUGCUUUACUGUUUCUUAUUUUUUUUGAUGUUGAGUAUGGAACUUGGGGUCUUAAUCAAAGCAUUCCCGCAUUGAGCUGCAUUCCUAGCUCAUGUAGAUUUGGAUCUUUCUUUCUUUAAGACUUAUUUACUUUAUGUACGUUGGUGUUCUGCCUGCGUGUCUGUGUGAGGGUACCAAAUCCUCUGGAACUGGAGAUACAGACAGUUGGGAACCGUGAACUACCACAUGGAUGCUGGGAAUUGAACUCUGGUCCUCUGGAAAAGCCCUUAACCGUGGAGCCAUCUUUCAAGUCGAUGACCUUUCUUAUUAUCUGUGUGAGUGUUUUGGCUACACAUAUAUCUGUGCACUGUGUGUGUGCCUGUUGCCCUCAGAGUCCAGAAGAGGGAGUCAGACCCCAGGAACCAGAGUUACAGACCGCUGUGAGUUGCCAUAUAUGUGUUGGGAUUUGAACAAGGGUCUUCAGAAACAGCACCAGAUAUAUGUAACCACUGCGUCAUCUCUCCAGCACUAGAUUUAGAUCUUAAUGAAUCCACCUCACUUCCCAGGGGAGAGUUAGAAGGAUUAAAGCAAGGCAUAGGUAUUGAACAAGGAUUUGCCACAGGCUAUGCCCACUGAUUUAGAUUUUAUUAUCUAAUCCUUCCUGCUAUCAACACUACCCCAUUUUACAAGUUUGUGAUCUUCUGUGUUUAAGGAAAGGAGAUCCUGGGGCAUUUUCCCUUCAGACCUAUGUCUAUCUCAUUUAUUUUCAGCCAGCACACUCUUACUUCAUUUUCAUAAUGGUACUUUUCAUUUCCUAGUAUGUGGACUACUGUAUGUAACGUGGACAGUGUUUAAUAAAUGCUCAUACAAUGAACGGGAGUGAAUGAAUGAGUAUCACAUAAUGCCUUUCUGACUUGAGGCUCAAACUGCAAGACAAGCGCAGAGAGCAUUAAGGAAGGCACUGAAGUGGCUGGUGUUGCUCGAGGCGAAGGAGUGCUAUCCAAGUUUGGAAGAAAGUCUCAAGCACCCUCUCCCCUUCAUCUCUUGGAAUAGCCACUUGUGAUACCUUGGAGAUGGCCCAGUUUAACAUCAGCACCACCUCCUCAUCGGUGUUCCUCUCUUCACCUCCAUCUGCUUCCUUGCCUGAAAAUUAACUAGACUCCAGGCAGAGCUGUAUUCUUCUCCAUUCAAAAGCUCGGUCCCUCCAGAUCAUCACCAGGAAAUGCCAAAGCUGGCGGCACUAAGAGAGCUCUCGUUCUACCCCUUGCUGUUCCUUAAUUGCCAAAGGUAGAAGAUGGGCUCUGCUUCCCUCCCUACCGCCCUUUUCUUGGGUCCACAAAGAAGUCCAGAGAAAUGAAGGAGCCUAACAGCCACCAAAACCGCUCUGCAGGAUCAAGAGCAGUAAGAAGAGAGCUGGUUCCUGGGCAGCUUUGCUCAUCUAUUUCCAGGAAGAGCUCAUGGAAAUGAGUUUCCUGCAGGGGAGCCCGAAGAAGAGCCCUAUAGCCUCCCUUGAAUUCUCACUUCUACUUAAGAACUCUAUUUCUGCUCCUAACAACUCUCCUUUUUUUUUUCAUCAACCCCUUUGAUAAAUAAACAAAGCAAUUCCGAACGCA